UUUUUAUUCAUGCUAUAAAAGUUUUAUUCUAGCUAGAAAAUUCUCUGCCAGAUUGUUUCACAUGUAAGGUUUUGGGAGGAAAAUAGAAAAGUCUUAAAGAUUUUUGAAAUUGAAAGUAUUCGCAGUGUUUUGUAUUGGUGUUCAAAGUUAUUUGGAACCAGUGAUUUUGUAAAUCCCGGCAAAAUUCGUGCCAGCCGCCGCGGUUAUACGAAAGGGGUAAGAGUAUUUUAUUGGUUUGUAAUUAGUUUUAUGUUGUGGCUAGAAAGAUAAUUUUGUUAGGUGAAAUUUUAAGAUUUGAGUUAGCCAAAUGAUUUGUGAAUGAAGUUAUGAAGUUUAGAAAAUAAACUGGGAUUAGAUACCCCAUUAUUCUAAAAGUUAAAUUAAAGUCAGAGUAGUAAUAGUUAUGUUCUUGAAACUCAAAGAAUUUGGCGGUGUUUUAAACCGGUCAGAGGAACUUGUCCCGUAAUCGAUAAUCCACGUUCAUUUAACUUAGUUUUGUUUUCAGCUUGUAUACCGCCGUCAUCAGAGUGAUUCGAGAGAAUAUUCUCAAGAAGUUUAAUUAAAGAGUAUGUCAGGUCAAGGUGCAGUUUAUAAUUAAGGGGAGAUGGGUUACAAUAAUAUUAAUUACACGGAUUUCUUUUUGUAAAAGAAGAAUUAAGGUGGAUUUGGAGGUAAUAAAGAAGAUUUAAUCCUUAUGAUAUCGGCUCUAAAACAAGCACACAUCGCCCGUCGCUCUCGUUUUUUAAGGCGAGAUAAGUCGUAACAUAGUAGAUGUACCGGAAGGUGUCUCUAGAAAGU
rnacentral:ncRNA from 1 species